GCCGCUGUGGCUCAGUGGCAGAGCGUCUCCUUGGUAAGGAGAAGGUCGCGUGUCCGAUUCACGCCAGCGGCACCA
rnacentral:tRNA from 1 species